CACAGCCUCAAUGCCUUCUUUCCACUUGGCUCUACCUCCUGAAGUUUCCACUACCUCUGUAAACACAAGAACCUGGUGACCAAGCCUUCAACGUGUGGCUUUGGGGGUACGGUCAGGGAUCUGUCAUGCUAGUGUCUUAACAAAAGGAUCCCCAACCUUCUGGAAGCUGGGGCCCCAGCUGUGUCACACUUAUGAUAGAUUUCAAUAAUACCAAGGGCUCCAAGAGGCUCAUGAGGAACACAGAGUAAACAGGAACCCAGCCCCACUAGUGUGUAAGUCUCAGGUGAGGGAGACUCCAUUCCUCUCUUGGUCUUGGAGAGCAGAACUCGCUGGAGCUUCUAGGGGCCUGAAUUCUUUCAGGAAAAAUUAAAGCUUGGCUCUACUGAGAUCCUGUAGGCUGCCCACUGGGCUAGGGUAGGGAUGCCAGGCAGGCCUGACAAGAGGUAGAGUAGAUACAGCUAGAUUUUGGGGAGCCAGUGGAAGGGUGUGGCCAAGGCAUGAGUCCCUGAGCUGACCCAAGAGUGUGGCUUCCGUCUCAGCUCAGUUCCCUGACUACAGAGUUGAAAUAUGAAUUCUGCCUCGUAAGGUGUCAGGAGGAUUUGAGCACUUGAUUCAGGUAAGACCUGAGUUCAAGGAUGCUCCCUAGAUAUUUGAUCGAAAUAUGAAGGGGAAAGUCUGGAAUUUUCCUGAAGUUUCUAGCUGGCCAUGUGACCAAUUAUCUGCCUUGUUACCCAUGUUCUUGAUACCCUGCCAUAAAUUUGGAUUAUAAGUAUGGUCUCCUGCCCCAGGAAUUAACAGCAUUUACUAUAGUUCCACCUCACAAAACCAACGCAGCCCUCUGGAGAGGGGGCUUCUCCAACCAAAACUCUCUGGCCACUCAGGGUAGUGGCUUGCUGCUCCCAGUAGAGCUGAAUAGGGCUGGAAGGACCCAGGAAUUUACCAAGUCUAAGGAUCAGUUGUGGUGGACAUAGGAGGAAGUGAAUUGACUCAAGGGCCAUUCCUGUGACUCAUUCCCCUGCCCAGAGCAGGGAAGAACUGGUGUGUGGGGAGCGCACAGGUGGACAGGCAGCAUAUUUUCACAGACUUCUCACAUCUAAAAUUAGGGUUGGGGCCUCCAGUCUCGGCCAGUGCCGCACCUGGGAGAAGUAAUGACAGGAAUGUGCCCUGGGACAGCAUGCUCAGCCAUGCCAGCCUCAGCCUGAUGCUGAGAUACGACCUGCCCUGCCCUUUACCCAACUUCUCUGUAUGCGCAGAAGGUUCUGGGCCCUGGUGCUUACAGGCUGAGCAUGCCAGCUCUCAGUGGGGGAAGGGAGUUGCCUUCCACAUUCUGACCCAGCUUUUUCUGUAACAAAAGGAAAGGGUCCUGGCCUCUCUUGACUACAUGGUGUGGGGAGAGGAGCUAUGGAUUAGCAGAGAAAGCUAGCCAUUGGUCAGCUCAGGCACUUCUUGACCUUAGCUGGGUAUGGUCUCAUCGUGUGUUAAUGGGAGGUUUCCACAGCAUUAUCCAUAAGGUGGGAGUGAGGGAUGCUACCUGACUUCUCUGGUGUCACCCAGUGAUAAUCCCACUAUGGAUACUGCUGUCUUCAGUGCACAGAUGAAGAGACAGGUUUACUGAGCCUGAAUCUCACCUAGCAAACACCCCUGCUGAGAGCCAGAGAUUUGUCCCAGAACAAUUCACACAGGCAGAAGAGUCACACAGACUAAAGGAUGCUCUGUGUCUACUUCUCAGUCUGGGCCCCAGGCAGGCUUAGCUGUUCUGGUUCUCUUGACGGUUUAAAGGGUCUACUGCCCCCAAGGACUCUUAAUUUUAGCAGGAAACACUUGAAAUUUUGCAAGAAAUUUUUUCAUCAUGCUUCAUGGGAUGCUACAGUUGGAGAUUUCCACAGUUCACAUUUUUCUUUUUUUUAAUUUUAUGUAUGUGGUGUUUUGCCUCCAUCUGUGUACCAAAUGUGUGCCCGGUGCCUGUCAGAAGAGAGCAUUGGCUUCCCUGAGACUUGAGUUACAGACCGUUGCAAGCCACCAUCUGGGUGCUUGGAAUCAAAUCCAGGUCCUCUGGAAGAGCAGCCACUGAGCUGUCUCUCCAACACCAGUUCUUUCCUCUCUGUCUCUGUUAUGUUCCCCAGUAUUCCAUUGUAUAUGUGUGUGUGUGUAUAUAUAUAUAUAUAUAUAUACAUAUAUAUAUAUAUAUAUACACAUAUAUGUCUUAAAUGAUCUGUUCAUCCCUCAACAGACAGGAGUUAGAUAAUUGUGACUACUCUGAAGAAAGCUGUUAAUAAUUGUGUAAAAAUCUCUUGUCUGAAGAAGGAUAUUUUCUUUAUUCUUGGAUAAGUGCCUAGCUGUUGAAUGGCUGGGUCACAUGCUAGUGAAUCUUUGGAUUCAUAGGAAACCAUAAAAAUGGUUCCCACCAAGAAUGUAGGAGCAUUCCAGUUCCUCCACGUCCUCACUAGCACUUGGGGUUGUCAACAUUUUCUAGCAUUAUCCUUUUUCAUAUGUGCAUACUGGUAUCCUAUUGAGAUCUUAACAUGUAUUUCUCAAUGACUGAUAAUGUUAGAUAAUUUUUCAUGCUAUUAUUUCCCUUUUGUAUAUGCAUAUGUAUGUGCGCAUGUAUUUGUCGAUGUAUGUACAAAUGUGCAUGUAUAUUUGGUGUGCACAUAUGCUCAUAGUGUGCUAAUGUGUGUGGAAACCAGGGGACAAGCCCCGGUAUUGUUUCUCAAGUUGCAUUGAUGUUUCCUUUGAGACAGAAUCACCGGCUUGAAAGUUGACAAGUAGGCAAAGCUGGUUGAUCAGCAAGCCCCAAGGAUCUGCCUCUGUCUGCCUCUCCAACACCAGGAGUAUACGCACGUGAACACCAGGAGUAUACGCACGUGCCGUUGUGUCUGCUUCUGGAUUGUUAAAUGUGGGUUCUGGGGAUCAAGCUCAGAUUCUCACGCUUCCAAAGCAAACUUUACUGAACUGACUCUAGCUCUACAGACCAUUCUUAUAUCUCUUAAAAAUAAAGUGUGCCUUCGAAUGUAUUACAUACUUUCUAUUUGGAUAUGAUGUUUGAUUUAGAUGGAUGGAUAGAUAGAUAGAUAGAUAGAUAGAGAUGAUUGAUAGGUGAUAGAUGAUUGAUAGAUAGAUGACAGAUAGAUAAUAGAAAGCAGAUAAUAAAUAUUUUGUUCCUGUUACAGAGUUAUGUCCUAUGAAGUGACUGACUACUGAACUGCUGCUUUGAGGGUAAAUAUAGGAUUUGGUUCCUUUGAACCUAAUGGCCACACAUUUAUCAUCUGAUAAAUAUAUACAAUUAAAUACAUUUCUGUUUAGACAC
rnacentral:lncRNA from 1 species